ensembl:lncRNA
UCCCAUGCUGAUGGGUUUGUGUAUACCUGUUUCCAGUAAGAUCCUUUAGCCCAGAAACCCACUCACAAUAUCUGGCUUGACUCCCCACUUUUCUUUGGUGUUUUUCAUGUCUCUUCCUGAGAAGUCAGGGCUGAGAUGUAGAGGGCUGAAACUCCAAAAAGUUCGCUCCCCAAACAGAAAACAGACCUCAGAGUGUAUGGAAAUCAGCCUCACCCACAACUUGUCUAGUUCUGAUUAAACUCUGGGCGGAGCCAUCAGCCUGUUGCGAAGAUCCCAAUCACCAUAGUUACCAUCAAUGCAACAAUGACCCACUGGGACUUUUAAGUCUCAGCAGCCACUACUGCCUUUUGCAUUGUAGACGCCAAGCCCAGCUGUAGAAGACCCAAAUGUGGCAGAAGCAGACCCAGCUGUGGCCCGGAUGGCCUCGUGCUACCGGUGGGAACGAGAGGAUCAUCUCAAUGAAGGUACUGUAAAUAAUAAAUGGUUCAGUGUAAGAAGGGACUAAAAUUUCAUCAACCGGGAAUAUCACCAAGGAAGAUGCAUUUGUACACCAGACUGCCAUAAAGAAUAAAAAUGCAAGAAGUACCUUCACAGUAAAGAAGAUAGGGAGACUGUGAGAUUUAAUGUUGUCUAAGCAAAAAGGGAACGAAGACAGCUUCUGCACCAAGCCCUGUUGAAAUUCAAUUCAAGGCAGUAAAUAUGCAACAAAUGUUUAAUCAUUAAUGAAGAUGGUAUCCACUUCUAAUGGGGUCCUCUGUGAAGUUACCGACAGAAUGACUAGACUAGUAAGUGUGGGAAAAGAAUGAGAGAUCCGAAAAUGUUCCAAAAAGAGGCUAUCCCUACCAUUACACAGAGGUUUCUACCUUACUUAUACACCCAGAUCGUAAAGACAACUAAUGUAUCCAACUUUCCUGUGCAGGAAGAAAUGAUGGAAGAUACAAUCAGGAUGCAGGGAAACAAGGUUGACCCGUGAGAUAGAAUAUGUAUCGAGUUAUAGAUUGUAAUACUACAAGGGCAUUCCUUGUCAAUAUAUCUUGGAGAGGAAGUAAGUAACGAAGACAAGAAUAACCAAGAAGAUGAAAUCUAGGGUCAGCAACCACUUCAAUGUAGGUAUUGCGGUAACUUCCAUUAUUUUCACAGAUGCCCAGAGAACCAUAAACCACAAAAUGGCAAAGAGGUGAAAGCAGCUAAAUCCACAAUCUCUUGAGACUGGACAGGGCUGAACUGAGUAAAUUCCAGUUUACCAUCUCUCCCAUCAGUCAUCAUACCGAAAAGAAAAAAAAAAAAAAUACCAGCAAUAAGAAGUGAACACAAGAUUUGGAACAGAGGGACCUUAAUGCUUGCUUUAUUGUUAUUGACCAGAUAACUAGAAUUAUCUGCAUUAUCUAUGCAGAAUGGGGUUUUUAUUAUUUUUACUUAAAGAACUCCCUUUGGGGGAAUAACAAAACUUUGUAAAAGCCUGGUUUUCUCAACACACCUUUAAAUGUUUUUAAAUAGUUUCAUAUCUGGUCAAGAUUCUUAAGAAUUUCACUUUUAAAUUGUGUGAAGUUACACCUGAUCUCUUCAAAAGUUCACACACUGCAAGCACAAGUUUAAAUAAAGGUCUUUAAAUUUGAAAAAAUGUGUAAAAAUUAUUUUUAAAAUAAUUAGUGUCAAAGUCAAUAAAGUGAAAUUGAUCUUGUC